GAUGAAGAACGCAGCGAAAUGCGAUAAGUAAUGUGAAUUGCAGAAUUCAGUGAAUCAUCGAGUCUUUGAACGCACAUUGCGCCCCCUGGUAUUCCGGGGGGCAUGCCUGUCCGAGCGUCAUUGCUGCCCUCAAGCACGGCUUGUGUGUUGGGCCGUCGUCCCCCUCCUAGGGGACGGGCCCGAAAGGCAGCGGCGGCACCGCGUCCGGUCCUCGAGCGUAUGGGGCUUCGUCACCCGCUCCGUAGGCCCGGCCGGCGCUUGCCGACGACCAUCAAUCUAUUUCUCCAGGUUGACCUCGGAUCAGGUAGGGAUACCCGCUGAACUUAAGCAUAUCAAUAAGCGGAGGA
rnacentral:misc_RNA from 1 species